rnacentral:rRNA from 1 species
GACGAACGCUGGCGGCGUGCCUAAUACAUGCAAGUUGAGCGCUGAAGGUUGGUACUUGUACCAACUGGAUGAGCAGCGAACGGGUGAGUAACGCGUGGGGAAUCUGCCUUUGAGCGGGGGACAACAUUUGGAAACGAAUGCUAAUACCGCAUAAAAACUUUAAACACAAGUUUUAAGUUGGAAAGAUGCAAUUGCAUCACUCAAAGAUGAUCCCGCGUUGUAUUAGCUAGUUGGUGAGGUAAAGGCUCACCAAGGCGAUGAUACAUAGCCGACCUGAGAGGGUGAUCGGCCACAUUGGGACUGGGACACGGCCCAAACUCCUACGGGAGGCAGCAGUAGGGAAUCUUCGGCAAUGGACGAAAGUCUGACCGAGCAACGCCGCGUGAGUGAAGAAGGUUUUCGGAUCGUAAAACUCUGUUGGUAGAGAAGAACGUUGGUGAGAGUGGAAAGCUCACCAAGUGACGGUAACUACCCAGAAAGGGACGGCUAACUACGUG